rnacentral:rRNA from 1 species
UACGUAGGGGGCAAGCGUUGUCCGGAUUUAUUGGGCGUAAAGAGCGCGUAGGCGGCCAGGCAGGUCCGUUGUGAAAACUGGAGGCUCAACCUCCAGACGUCGAUGGAAACCGUCUGGCUAGAGUCCGGAAGAGGAGAGUGGAAUUCUUGGUGUAGCGGUGAAAUGCGCAGAUAUCAGGAAGAACACCCGUGGCGAAAGCGGCUCUCUGGGACGGUACUGACGCUGAGACGCGAAAGCGUGGGGAGCGAACAGG